rnacentral:rRNA from 1 species
GAUGAACGCUGGCGGCGUGCCUAAUACAUGCAAGUCGAGCGAACGGACGAGAAGCUUGCUUCUCUGAUGUUAGCGGCGGACGGGUGAGUAACACGUGGAUAACCUACCUAUAAGACUGGGAUAACUUCGGGAAACCGGAGCUAAUACCGGAUAAUAUUUUGAACCGCAUGGUUCAAAAGUGAAAGACGGUCUUGCUGUCACUUAUAGAUGGAUCCGCGCUGCAUUAGCUAGUUGGUAAGGUAACGGCUUACCAAGGCAACGAUGCAUAGCCGACCUGAGAGGGUGAUCGGCCACACUGGAACUGAGACACGGUCCAGACUCCUACGGGAGGCAGCAGUAGGGAAUCUUCCGCAAUGGGCGAAAGCCUGACGGAGCAACGCCGCGUGAGUGAUGAAGGUCUGCGGAUCGUAAAACUCUGUUAUUAGGGAAGAACAUAUGUGUAAGUAACUGUGCACAUCUUGACGGUACCGAAUCAGAAAGCCACGGCUAACUACGU